rnacentral:rRNA from 1 species
GACGAACGCUGGCGGCGUGCUUAACACAUGCAAGUCGAACGGAAAGGCCCUGCUUUUGUGGGGUGCUCGAGUGGCGAACGGGUGAGUAACACGUGAGUAGCCUGCCCUUGACUUUGGGAUAACUUCAGGAAACUGGGGCUAAUACCGGAUAGGAGCUCCUGCUGCAUGGUGGGGGUUGGAAAGUUUCGACGGUUGGGGAUGGACUCGCGGCUUAUCAGCUUGUUGGUGGGGUAGUGGCUUACCAAGGCUUUGACGGGUAGCCGGCCUGAGAGGGUGACCGGCCACAUUGGGACUGAGAUACGGCCCAGACUCCUACGGGAGGCAGCAGUGGGGAAUAUUGCACAAUGGGCGGAAGCCUGAUGCAGCAACGCCGCGUGCGGGAUGACGGCCUUCGGGUUGUAAACCGCUUUCGCCUGUGACGAAGCGUGAGUGACGGUAAUGGGUAAAGAAGCACCGGCUAACUACGUG